rnacentral:lncRNA from 1 species
UGAAGGACCAAGGGACCCAACUCACAGAUAAAUAGUUACAAACAGUAGCAGUGCUCCUGCAACCCAUCAGGCAGUUUCUUUGACAAGAACAGUAGAAGGAGUCUUAUUUCAGGCUCAGCACAGAUUCUUUUUUUUUCUUAAUUUUUUAAAAUGUUUUUUAAACUUGGUUAUAGACCUUUAUUUAUUUAUUUAUUUAUAUGUGGUGCUGAGAAUCGAACCCAGUACCUCAUACAUGCCAGGCAAAUACGUUACCGCUGAGCCCCAGCCCCAGCUCAAACUCAGCACAAAUUCUAUUCUCUGAGCACAUGGGGAAGUUUCUAAUGUCUCAUAGUUUGGUGCUGUGCCCAUCAGAGUUCAGUGUGUGGUUUAAAAAAACAAUUCUGUUUUUAAGCUGGGCAUGGUAGCACACACUGGUAAUCCCAGCUACUCAGGAGGCAAGAGUUUCACAAGUUCCAGCAAAUUAGUGAGACUCUCAGACCCUGUCUCAAAAUAAAAAGGGCCAGGGAUAUUGCUCAGUAAUAAAGUACCCCUGAAUUCAAUCCCUAGUACCAAAAAUAUAAAAGCAAAAUAAAAUUGGGGUUUUUAAAUAGUUACAAAUGUAAAAGAGAGAGGGAAAGAAAGAGAAAGAAAAAGGGAGAAGAAAAUAGAAAAAGGAAAAGCGACAGAAGGAACUCAUGAGGCGGGGCAUCCAGGCCUCUAAUGCGUCCACGUGACUUCUCCCUCCUAGAAGCCUGCCCUGACUGCUCCAGCCACCCACAGACCUAGCUCCCAGCACCUCCUCCCACCCAGCAUCUGUCAUAGCAAGUGAGUCUGGGCCACAGUUCCCAUCUGGCCCUGCACUUGAUCCCUGUUCUAGGGCAGGGAAUAGAGCCCCCAGCAAGAGACGUGGGCUUGGGGCUUCCACAUGCACUUGAUUGUGCCUUUGAAGUAGAAAGAUUAGGGAACCCGAUGCCCCUGAAAGCCUGGAGUUUCUCUGGUUCUGGGUACCUUCAUUUCUGAGAACCGGCUGUGCUUUGGAAAGAAAAAUGAGAAGUAAAACCCUUUAGGGCCCCAGCAUCACCCUGCCACCCUCCAUUUCUGCCUUCCUUCCGCUGAGUCAUAGCUAAGGUCCCUGUACCUCAGACUCCCUUGGGCUGCCGGGGUGGGGCAGAAUUCAGGGUCAGGUGAGGACAGCAGCAUCUGGGACAAGCUGCCCUUCCUG